GGAUAGCCGGCCUGAGAGGGUGAACGGCCACACUGGGACUGAGACACGGCCCAGUCUCCUACGGGAGGCAGCAGCUAAGAAUCUUCCGCAAUGGGCGAAAGCCUGACGGAGCGACGCCGCGUGAAUGAAGAAGGCCUAACGGUUGUAAAAUUCUUUUCUUGGGGAAGAAUAAGGAAUGGAGUGGAAAGCCAUUCUGAUGACAUUAUCCAAGGAAUAAGCCCCGGCCAAUUACGUGCCAGCAGCCGCGGUAAUACGUAAGGGGCAAGCGUUGUUCGGAAUUAUUGGGCGUAAAGGGCGUGUAGGCGGUUUUAUAAGCCCGAUGUGAAAUACCACAGCUCAACUGUGGAAACGCGUCGGGAACUGUAAGACUAGAGUUCAGGAAGGGAAGCUGGAAUUCCUGGUGUAGGGGUGAAAUCUGUAGAUAUCAGGAAGAACACCGAUGGCGAAGGCAAGCUUCUAGACAUGGACUGACGCUGAGGCGCGAAAGCGUGGGGAGCGAACAGGAUUAGAUACCCUGGUAGUCCACGCUGUAAACGAUGUACACUUGGUGUAGGGACGAACGUCUCUGUGCCGGAGCUAACGCGUUAAGUGUACCGCCUGGGGAGUAUGCCCGCAAGGGUGAAACUCAAAGGAAUUGACGGGGGCCCGCACAAGCGGUGGAGCAUGUGGUUUAAUUCGAUACGCGAGAAACCUUACCAGGGCUUGACAUCUACCGGAAUGUACAAGAGAUUGUGCAGUCUUCUUUGAAGACUGGUAGACAGGUGCUGCAUGGCUGUCGUCAGCUCGUGUCGUGAGAUGUUGGGUUAAGUCCCGCAACGAGCGCAACCCUUACUGUCUGUUACCAGCAUACUUUAUUGUGAUGGGGACUCAGGCAGAACUGCCGGUGACAAACCGGAGGAAGGUGGGGACGACGUCAAGUCAUCAUGGCCCUUAUGUCCUGGGCUACACACGUGCUACAAUGGUCGUUACAGAGCGGAGCGAGACGGCGACGUCAAGCAAAUCGCAAAAAGACGACCUAAGUUCGGAUUGGAGUCUGAAACUCGACUCCAUGAAGCUGGAAUCGCUAGUAAUCGCGCAUCAGCAUGGCGCGGUGAAUAAGUUCCCGGGCCUGUACACACCGCCCGUCACACCACCCGAGUUGGGGGUACCCGAAGUCACUAGUCUAACCGUAAGGAAGACGGUGCCGAAGGUAUGCCUGGUA
rnacentral:rRNA from 1 species